rnacentral:misc_RNA from 1 species
AGAAUUGUCAUCAUUGUUAGAUAAGGCAAAUUCCGAUGAGGAAUCGACUUGUUCAGGAUUCAAUGUACAAUGAAGCAGUAAAUUGUGGCGGCAAAACCGAGUCUUGAAUGGAGCAGAUGCAGUUGUAGAUAAACGACGACAGGAUAAAGCGUUGGCGAAAGAAAGGGACCGAACAUGUUUCGAAGAAGAAAAAUGGAGAAGAGGAGGUAAAGGCUUGAAGAGAA